rnacentral:lncRNA from 1 species
UUCUGCUGGGCGCGAGCUUGGAGGGUCCCCCGUGGGACAAUCGGUGCCUCCUCUCCCAGGAGUUCGGCGGUUCCUGUCACGUUCAGUAGCAGCCGCAGUAGUGGCCAAGGAAACGCUGAUCCGAGGCCGCUGCCGCUGUCCUAUAAUCUUCUAGAUGGAGACGCGACACUCCCAGCCAUCGUCCUUUUGCAUGGACUCUUCGGCAGCAAAAGCAACUUCAACUCCCUCGCCAAGGCGUUGGUUCAGAGGACCGGCAGGAGGGUGCUGACAGUGGAUGCUCGGAAUCAUGGUGACAGUCCCCACAGUCCAGAUGCAAGCUAUGAGGCCAUGAGUCAGGACCUCCAGGGCCUCCUCCCCCAGCUGGGCCUGGUGCCCAGUGUCCUCGUUGGCCACAGCAUGGGAGGAAAGACAGCCAUGCUACUGGCACUGCAGAGGGUGAGCUACACAGGUCUGGGUCCCCUCAAUGCACUGUGAGCCUUAAGCACCCCAUUAAUAACGUGGGACUCAUCUGUACCUUGGAUGGCCAGGUUCCAGAAACUCUGCUGGAGGCUCGGAGAGUUUGCCUGGGACCCGCUCUGUUCUGAUUCUGUCUCACAGCCAGAUGUUGUGGAACGACUGGUUGUCGUAGACAUAAGCCCAGCAGGAACCACACCGGGAUCAUAC